rnacentral:rRNA from 1 species
AAGCGGAGGAAAAGAAACCAACCGGGAUUGCCUUAGUAACGGCGAGUGAAGCGGCAAAAGCUCAAAUUUGAAAUCUGGUACCUUCGGUGCCCGAGUUGUAAUUUGGAGAGGGCAACUUUGGGGCCGUUCCUUGUCUAUGUUCCUUGGAACAGGACGUCAUAGAGGGUGAGAAUCCCGUGUGGCGAGGAGUGCGGUUCUUUGUAAAGUGCCUUCGAAGAGUCGAGUUGUUUGGGAAUGCAGCUCUAAGUGGGUGGUAAAUUCCAUCUAAAGCUAAAUAUUGGCGAGAGACCGAUAGCGAACAAGUACAGUGAUGGAAAGAUGAAAAGAACUUUGAAAAGAGAGUGAAAAAGUACGUGAAAUUGUUGAAAGGGAAGGGCAUUUGAUCAGACAUGGUGUUUUGUGCCCUCUGCUCCUUGUGGGUAGGGGAAUCUCGCAUUUCACUGGGCCAGCAUCAGUUUUGGUGGCAGGAUAAAUCCAUAGGAAUGUAGCUUGCCUCGGUAAGUAUUAUAGCCUGUGGGAAUACUGCCAGCUGGGACUGAGGACUGCGACGUAAGUCAAGGAUGCUGGCAUAAUGGUUAUAUGCCGCCCGUCUU